UGGGGAAUUUUGGACAAUGGGCGAAAGCCUGAUCCAGCAAUGCCGCGUGUGUGAAGAAGGCCUUCGGGUUGUAAAGCACUUUUGUCCGGAAAGAAAUGGCUCUGGUUAAUACCUGGGGUCGAUGACGGUACCGGAAGAAUAAGGACCGGCUAACUACGUGCCAGCAGCCGCGGUAAUACGUAGGGUCCAAGCGUUAAUCGGAAUUACUGGGCGUAAAGCGUGCGCAGGCGGUUGUGCAAGACCGAUGUGAAAUCCCGAGCUUAACUUGGGAAUUGCAUUGGUGACUGCACGGCUAGAGUGUGUCAGAGGGGGGUUAGAAUUCCACGUGUAGCAGUGAAAUGCGUAGAGAUGUGGAGGAAUACCGAUGGCGAAGGCAGCCCCUGGGAUAACACUGACGCUCAUGCACGAAAGCGUGGGGAGCAAACAGGAUUAGAUACCCUGGUAGUCACGCCCUAAACGAUGUCAACUA
rnacentral:rRNA from 1 species